UACGUAGGGUGCGAGCGUUAAUCGGAAUUACUGGGCGUAAAGCGUGCGCAGGCGGUUUUGUAAGCCGGAUGUGAAAUCCCCGGGCUUAACCUGGGAAUGGCAUUCGGGACUGCAAGGCUGGAGUGCGGCAGAGGAGACUGGAAUUCCUGGUGUAGCAGUGAAAUGCGUAGAGUAUCAGGAGGAACACCGAUGGCGAAGGCAGGUCUCUGGGCUGACACUGACGCUCAUGCACGAAAGCGUGGGGAGCAAACAGG
rnacentral:rRNA from 1 species